rnacentral:rRNA from 1 species
AGUCGAGCGGCAGCACAGAGAAACUUGUUUCUCGGGUGGCGAGCGGCGGACGGGUGAGUAAUGCCUGGGAAAUUGCCCUGAUGUGGGGGAUAACCAUUGGAAACGAUGGCUAAUACCGCAUGAUAGCUUCGGCUCAAAGAGGGGGACCUUCGGGCCUCUCGCGUCAGGAUAUGCCCAGGUGGGAUUAGCUAGUUGGUGAGGUAAUGGCUCACCAAGGCGACGAUCCCUAGCUGGUCUGAGAGGAUGAUCAGCCACACUGGAACUGAGACACGGUCCAGACUCCUACGGGAGGCAGCAGUGGGGAAUAUUGCACAAUGGGCGCAAGCCUGAUGCAGCCAUGCCGCGUGUGUGAAGAAGGCCUUCGGGUUGUAAAGCACUUUCAGUCGUGAGGAAGGUGGUGUUGUUAAUAGCACCAUCAUUUGACGUUAGCGACAGAAGAAGCACCGGCUAACUCCGUGCCAGCAGCCGCGGUAAUACGGAGGGUGCGAGCGUUAAUCGGAAUUACUGGGCGUAAAGCGCAUGCAGGUGGUUUGUUAAGUCAGAUGUGAAAGCCCGGGGCUCAACCU